rnacentral:lncRNA from 1 species
AGAUAUAGAUAAACAAGUUCAUGAAUCUUUUGGAAAUUAUAAAGGUUGUGUUAAGGAACAACCGAAUGACUGAAUUUAUAGAAGUCAGAAUGCAAAUAAUCAAAACCAAUGUAUAUUUUUAAUAUAUAUAUUUUCAAACUGAGCUUGGCAAUGCCAGUAUAUUAUAAAAUUAUAUUUUUCAUUUAUGAUGAUGUAAUUAUUCUAACUUUGGUUCUGAGAUGAUAGAAUAUUAAUGAUUUUAAUUUUUAAUAUAAGAUCACUUUUCUAAAAUACUUUUAAUAACAUAGUGAAAAGUCAUGGUGUGAGGAUUCCGGUCUUACCUGGGUGGUGGUGUUGCUGGGAGCCGCCAUUUUGAAGUUUUGUUUAGUACUGCAGUUAAUUUAAUUUUUGUUUAUAAUAUUUGAAUUUCUAAUUUAUUUUGUUUGAAUUGUAAAAUAUUGUUUCAAUUAAUACUGGACAUUGGAUUUCGUUACAAUGAAAUUUUUGUAUGUUAUUGUUCUAUUCACUGUAUUAAUAUGCUAAUGAGGUUAAGGUUAAGAAGGAGUUCGGAAGACCGUGGUGAUGUCUCGCCCAACAGAUGUUAUGGAGAAGUAGUGAUUGCUGGCUGGAAGCCUCUUUGUGUUAUUUUGUGGUUGGUUUUAAUGGUGGAAAUGACUUGGAACAUUUCUCAAGCGUUGCAGAUAUGUCUCAUCAGGUGAAAGUGGUCUACUGUGUUUUUAAUGUGAAAAACUUUUGUUUAUUAUAUUUCUCUGUGAGAAUAGGCGAGAUUUUGUUUAUAAGUAAGUUUAUCAUUGUAUUAAUUUUUUCUUGGUGAAAUAAACAUAGAUAUGGAGCAAUGUUUAGAUGCAGUUAUGCGAUGAUUGGACACAAACUAACUAACUAUAAAUGUUAAGAUAAGUGCCAAUCAAAAAAAGGAAACACAGGGUCAGACCGAAAGU